rnacentral:rRNA from 1 species
AUUGAACGCUGGCGGCAGGCCUAACACAUGCAAGUCGAGCGAGCGGCGGACGGGUGAGUAAUGUCUGGGAAACUGCCUGAUGGAGGGGGAUCACUACUGGAAACGGUAGCUAAUACCGCAUACCAUCAGAUGUGCCCAGAUGGGAUUAGCUAGUAGGUGGGGUAACGGCUCACCUAGGCGACGAUCCCUAGCUGGUGUGAGAGGAUGACCAGCCACACUGGAACUGAGACACGGGCCAGACUCCGACGGGAGGCAGAAGUGGGGAAGAUUGCACAAUGGGCGCAAGCCGGAUGCAGCCAGGCUGAGGGUGGGAAGAAGGCCUUCGGGUUGGAAAGCACUGUCAGCGGGGAGGCGUUACCCGCAGAAGAAGCACCGGCGAACUCCGUGCCAGCAGCCGCGGGAAUAC